rnacentral:rRNA from 1 species
CCUACGGGAGGCAGCAGUGAGGAAUAUUGGUCAAUGGACGGAAGUCUGAACCAGCCAUGCCGCGUGCAGGAAGACGGCUCUAUGAGUUGUAAACUGCUUUUGUACAAGGGUAAACCUGAAUACGUGUAUUCAGCUGAAAGGACUUUACGAAUAAGGAUCGGCUAACUCCGUGCCAGCAGCCGCGGUAAUACGGAGGAUCCAAGCGUUAUCCGGAUUUAUUGGGUUUAAAGGGUACGUAGGCGGAUUGAUGAGUUAGAGGUGAAAUGUUCGAGCUUAACUCGGGAACUGCAUCUAAUACUGUUGAUCUAGAGUGUAGAUGCGGUAGGCAGAAUGUAUGGUGUAGCGGUGAAAUGCAUAGAUA